AUGCUUCAAAAUGUGAAAGGGGCAGAAGGCGUUUCCACUCACCCGGAGGAACCUCUUAGAAAGGCACAGAGAAAUGCCGUGCAUUCCUCCUGUUCCAUCCCUCCCGUUCCGGCUCUGCUUCGCAUCGGGGCCCCCACGCGUGUCUGUGCCCACACCCGGCCCUUCCGCUGCCUCUUUACCCCCCCGCACCUUCGGGCACACCGCGGUCCCUCCCCGUGCGUCGGCUCCUCCUGCCCCGUCCCGGCCGCGGGGCUGUCGGGGGUCGGCCCCGCUGGAGGGAGGGUGUCCCCUCGCAUGUGGCCGGGGGGGCCCGAGCCCUCUCCCAGCCCCGAAAUGACGCAGCCCCCGCCCCGGCAUCGCCUCCCGUUUGGGCUGGCUCCGUUUCAGGAGCUCCGUCUCCCACCACCCCCUUCUUCCCAGCCUUCUUCCUUCCUCCUCCUCCUCGCCUCACCGUCACUCUCAAACAACACCCCCCCACCAGCCACCCGCUCCCCCCGCCACCCCAAACUCCUUCCUCAGGACCGCGGGAUGCCGGCGAGCCCUGGCGAGAGCCGCCGCUCUCCAUUUCCAAGCGGGGAGAGCCGCCGGGAGCGGCCCACUCUGUUCUCCAGCCUCGUUACAUGGGUUUCUGUCUCUCCUCAGCAUCCCCUUGAAUGGCAUCUACUGCAUAUAACUUUUUCAGCCCACAAAGCUGAAACACUUUCUGUGAUUCAAAUGGCUCCAGAACAUCUACUCACUAGAAGACAUCCUCCCUGAUUUCUUGUGGUGCCUGUUGGAUUGCUGAAGUUGCAGUUCAGAGACAAACGAGAUACCAGAACAGAGGAAUGUUUCUCAGAAGGACCAGUGAGACAUCUCCUGACCUCUGUCUCCAUUGGAGGAUAUAACUGGAGUAGAAAAGAGAAGCAGAG
rnacentral:lncRNA from 1 species